GAUGAAGAACGCAGUGAAAUGCGAUAAGUAAUGUGAAUUGCAGAAUUCAGUGAAUCAUCGAAUCUUUGAACGCACCUUGCGCCCUUUGGACUUCUGAAGGGCAUGCCUGUUUGAGUAUCAUGAACACCUCAACUCCUUAUGGUCUUCCAUGAUGAGCUUGGACUUUGGGGGUUUUGCUGGCCUACAGUCAGCUCCUCUAAAAUAAAUCAGCUUACCGGUGUUUGGUGGGUAUCAUGGGUGUGAUAACUAUCUACGCUCGUGGUUUUCCACCAGGUAACCUUCAGCAGUGGAGGUUCACUGGAGCUCAUAGAUGUCUCUCCUCAGCGAGGACAGCCCUUUGAAUGUUUGAUCUCAAAUCAGGUAGGACUACCCGCUGAACUUAAGCAUAUCAAUAAGCGGAGGA
rnacentral:misc_RNA from 1 species